rnacentral:rRNA from 1 species
UUGUUGGUGAGGUAAAAGCUUACCAAGGCUUCGAUCAGUAGCUGGUCUGAGAGGACGGCCAGCCACACUGGGACUGAGACACGGCCCAGACUCCUACGGGAGGCAGCAGUGGGGAAUUUUGGACAAUGGGGGCAACCCUGAUCCAGCCAUGCCGCGUGAGUGAAGAAGGCCUUCGGGUUGUAAAGCUCUUUCAGCCGGAACGAAACGGUUACGGUUAAUACCCGUGACUACUGACGGUACCGGAAGAAGAAGCACCGGCUAACUACGUGCCAGCAGCCGCGGUAAUACGUAGGGUGCAAGCGUUAAUCGGAAUUACUGGGCGUAAAGCGUGCGCAGGUGGUUUUGUAAGUCAGAUGUGAAAUCCCCGGGCUUAACCUGGGAACUGCGUUUGAAACUACAAGGCUAGAGUGUGGCAGAGGGGGGUGGAAUUCCGCGUGUAGCAGUGAAAUGCGUAGAUAUGUGGAGGAACACCGAUGGCGAAGGCAGCCCCCUGGGUCAACACUGACGCUCAGGCACGAAAGCAUGGGGAGCAAACAGGAUUAGAUACCCUGGUAGUCCAUGCCCUAAACGAUGUCAACUAGUUGUCGGGCCUUAACGGGCUUGGUAACGUAGCUAACGCGUGAAGUUGACCGCCUGGGGAGUACGAUCGCAAGAUUAAAACUCAAAGGAAUUGACGGGGACCCGCACAAGCGGUGGAUUAUGUGGAUUAAUUCGAUGCAACGCGAAGAACCUUACCUACCCUUGACAUGUAUCGAAGCCCGCAGAGAAGCGGGUGUGCCCGAAAGGGAACGAUAACACAGGUGCUGCAUGGCUGUCGUCGGCUCGUGUCGUGAGAUGUUGGGUUAAGUCCCGCAACGAGCGCAACCCUUGUCAUUAAUUGCCAUCAUUUAGUUGGGCACUUUAAUGAGACUGCCGG